rnacentral:rRNA from 1 species
UACGUAGGUGGCAAGCGUUGUCCGGAAUUAUUGGGCGUAAAGCGCGCGCAGGCGGUCCUUUAAGUUCUGAUGUGAAAGCCCACGGCUCAAACCGUGGAGGGUCAUUGGGAAAACUGGGGGGACUUGAGUGCAGAAGAGGAAAAGCGGAAUUCCACGUGUAGCGGUGGAAAUGCGGUAGAGAUGUGGAGGAACACCAGUGGCGAAAGGCGGCUUUCUGGUCUGUAACUGACGCUGAGGCGCGAAAGCGUGGGGAGCAAACAGG